GCCCCUAAUUCAAAAUCUUAUAAAUUAAAUUUGUACCAAAAUGUGAACAAUUUCUGCGUCAAUUAAGACAACACAGUUUUGUCUGUGUAAGUUGCCUUUGGUUGACGAAAAGAGGCGACAAACUACCAUUCCCUCUCGCUUGCACCCUCAAUCAUGAUCAAAUGAAACGGGACACUUUUUCGUACAUGCUAACCGGUGUCAUCGAUAUACAUAAAAGACUUCAAAAUCACUUGAAAAUAUUUCAUACAUAGAUAUGUACACAUGUGUGUGUGCGUAAGCUUAUGAAAAUAAGUAAUUUUGCAUUAUUAAUGAAAAAAAGUUUCAGAUUUUUAACACCACUAGAAGUAUUUUUGGCCGCUCGCUCCAUACAAGCCCGACCACUGUGAGAUGGUACAAAACUGCAAUGCUCAAUAUCAUGUGGAGUGGAGUAAGGAAAAAUAAGUCUUCUCCUCUUUGAAUUCCAGAAA